rnacentral:rRNA from 1 species
AGUUUGAUCCUGGCUCAGAUUGAACGCUGGCGGCAGGCCUAACACAUGCAAGUCGAACGGAAACAUGUCUAGCUUGCUAGAUGAUGUCGAGUGGCGGACGGGUGAGUAAUACUUAGGAACAUGCCUUUGGGUGGGGGAUAACUAUUGGAAACGAUAGCUAAUACCGCAUAACGUCUACGGACCAAAGGGGGGAGCUUGCUCCUCUCGCCCAAAGAGUGGCCUAAGCGAGAUUAGCUUGUUGGUGAGGUAAAGGCUCACCAAGGCGACGAUCUCUAGCUGUUCUGAGAGGAAGAUCAGCCACACUGGGACUGAGACACGGCCCAGACUCCUACGGGAGGCAGCAGUGGGGAAUAUUGCACAAUGGAGGAAACUCUGAUGCAGCCAUGCCGCGUGUGUGAAGAAGGCCUUCGGGUUGUAAAGCACUUUCAGUUGUGAGGAAAGCUUGGUGGUUAAUACCCAUCAGGUAUGACGUUAGCAACAGAAGAAGGACCGGCUAACUCCGUGCCAGCAGCCGCGGUAAUACGGAGGGUCCGAGCGUUAAUCGGAAUUACUGGGCGUAAAGCGCACGCAGGCGGUUUGUUAAGCUAGAUGUGAAAGCCCCGGGCUCAACCUGGGAAUAGCAUUUAGAACUGGCAGACUAGAGUCUUGGAGAGGGGAGUGGAAUUUCUGGUGUAGCGGUGAAAUGCGUAGAUAUCAGAAGGAACAUCAGUGGCGAAGGCGACUCCCUGGCCAAAGACUGACGCUCAUGUGCGAAAGUGUGGGUAGCGAACAGGAUUAGAUACCCUGGUAGUCCACACCGUAAACGCUGUCUACUAGCUGUUUGUGGAUUUAAUCCGUGAGUAGCGAAGCUAACGCGAUAAGUAGACCGCCUGGGGAGUACGGCCGCAAGGUUAAAACUCAAAUGAAUUGACGGGGGCCCGCACAAGCGGUGGAGCAUGUGGUUUAAUUCGAUGCAACGCGAAGAACCUUACCUACUCUUGACAUACUAGAAACUUUUCAGAGAUGAAUUGGUGCCUUCGGGAAUCUAGAUACAGGUGCUGCAUGGCUGUCGUCAGCUCGUG